GCUGUCUGGAGCGGAAGGAAGCAGCUGGGCUUCUCCCCGGCCCGCGGAUGGGCGGGGCUUGGCCGGAGGGCCUGAGGCGCGUGGCAGGCGUGGCCGGAGGCCGGGCGGUGCGGGCGAGAUGGAGCCGAAGCUCGGGUUCCACGAGCUCCUGCACGUUUUCUCCUUCCUGGAGGCCCGAGACCUGCUCCGCGCCGCCCAGGUGGACAAGGUCUGGAAUGAGGUUUCACGGACCAAGGAACUGUGGAGGCAUCUGUGUCUGAGACGCUGGUCGUCUUGCACAGCCUCCCAGAUGACGGUGGGCACACAGACGUGGAAAGAGUACUACCUCUGCCGAUCCGAGCUAGAGUUCCGAAUGGAGCGUGGGCGGCCGGAAAAGGACUUCAUCUGCAAAGCCAUUGCCGGGCACACAGCGGAGAUAGACGGGCUGGCUUACAUCUCAUCCAACCUGUGCCGGUUUGAUGGGCAGGCGAAGUCCACGGUGUGCACCGUGUCCUGGGACUGCACCCUCCGUGCCUGGGACAUGCAGGAGGGCACAGAGAUCUGGUCGAGCCUUCCGCAGCCCGCUGCUCUGGUGAACGUGGUGGCCUUGCCUCGGCUGCAGCUGGCCGUCACCGUGGACAAGCGGGGCCUCAUCAAGGUGUGGGGAGCGGAGGACGGACGGGAGCGGGCCUCCUUCUUCCUGCCUGUGUUGUCGUCUGCACUGCAGGCCUGCGACCAUCCCGAAGGCCCCUUCCUGCUGGUGGCCUGUGCCGAGGGCUUCCUGUUCGUGCUCACGGUGCCCCAGCUGCAGCUGCGGUCCAGGACCCCCGUGUUCCCAGGAAGCCCCGCCAGACUCCUGUGCUCCCCCGGCUGCCAGUGGGUGUUCGCUUGGACCCAGAGCUCAGAACUGGGCCCGAAGGUGUUCCACACGCGCUCCCUGCUGUGUCCCGAGGAAGACGAGCCUCCCGUCUCCGCCACUCUGCCCGCCUGUCUGACCUGCAUAGCCUGCUGGGCCCCCGACGAGACGGCCAGGCUGAUGGUGACGCACAGAAAUGACAACGACCUGCAGCUGGUCGUCACCACCUACGAGCUCGGGGUGCAGCAGUCGCGGGAAGGAGCGGACGUCAUGGUGCAACAGGUGGCGCAUUUCCUCCUGCCCAACACCAGGAUGCCUCCGCACCUCAUGAAGGGCCACGGCUCUCAGGUGAUCCUGCUGGUGUCCUGGUUGGAGCUGGCACUCUUCACCAUCCACGGCGUGCAGCUGGCGGCCUUCCAGGACCACCAGAGGCCCAUCGCAUCCUUGUGGGUGGACCAGAACCUAGUCGUCACCGCUUCCUUCGACCUGUCCCUGCGAGUCUACGUGUGGAGUAAGGAAGAGAAGCUUCCGGCCCUCAAGAGCUGCUAUUACCUGCUUGGGGGCUCCCACAGAUGGGCCAGCAUCAUCAGUCUGGGCAUCCAAACCGAACUUGGCAAGUCUGCGUCUGCAAGGCGGCUGCCAUAUGCGUGCAGAGGCUGGUGGGAGCGCCCCGCACGCAGCCGGUCCGGGAGCCCGAUGUGCGCCAGCCGAUGCUCCUGAACCAUGCCCGGUCCAUUUAGAAGGAGGAUUAGUAACUGACGAAGAAGUAACAAUGAUGCCAGCUGUUCUCCUGGCUAAACUUGAGAGAAAAAAAAUAAAGGAAUGAAGGACAGGGGAGCCUAUGUAAAUGAGUCGGAACUGAAUGAAGCAGGAUAUGAAAAAACAAACAGAGAAGAUCUUGUUUAUAGAAAGAACACUGCGUGCCGGAAAGCCCCACGGACGCCCGCGCAGCGCGCUGGGCCCUCGGGGACGGGGACUCGAGCGCACGCGCUCCGGCGGCCGAAGCCGCACUGCUGACCUCGGGAGCGACAGAGACACCAAGGCACCCAAGGCACAGCCCUGCCACCGGUCCUAAGGCCUUUCCGAUUCGAAAGGCUCUCCGGCUCACCAGUUAUGAAAGAGGGCUUUUACAUUAAAAUGGCGUUCUGCUUCUGCCCAGGCCCUUUCAUACAACGUAAUUCUCUCUUCUCCAAAACUACUCAAUUAGCAGGUAGGUGGAACACCCAAAACUGAUGAUUUUCUUUGUCCAAAAUGGUUUUCAAUUUCUAAAUCUGUAUAUUUUUCAGAACACUUACAAUUAUUCUAUAAGACAUAA